rnacentral:rRNA from 1 species
CAGCAGCCACGGGAAAACGGAGGGUGCAAGCGUUAUCCGGAUUUAUUGGGUUAAAAGGGUCCGUAGGCGGACUUAUAAGUCAGUGGUGAAAGCCUGUCGCUUAACGAUAGAACUGCCAUUGAUACUGUAAGUCUUGAGUAUAUUUGAGGUAGCUGGAAUAAGUAGUGUAGCGGUGAAAUGCAUAGAUAUUACUUAGAACACCAAUUGCGAAGGCAGGUUACCAAGAUAUAACUGACGCUGAGGGACGAAAGCGUGGGUAGCGAACAGGAUUAGAUACCCCAGUAGUCCCUGUCUCUUAUAC